GACGGAGGGGGCGAGCGUUGUCCGGAAUUACUGGGCGUAAAGAGCACGUAGGUGGACCAUUAAGUCAGGUGUGAAAGACCGGGGCUCAACUCCGGAGUUGCACUUGAAACUGGUGGUCUUGAGGGCAGGAGAGGAAAGUAGAAUUCCUGGUGUAGCGGUGAAAUGCGUAGAGAUCAGGAGGAAUACCAGUGGCGAAGGCGGCUUUCUGGACUGUCCCUGACACUGAGGUGCGAAAGCGUGGGGAGCAAACAGG
rnacentral:rRNA from 1 species